rnacentral:rRNA from 1 species
AUGAUGUAUCAAGUUCGUGUGGAUGUUGUGAAGUUCUACUAUGAGAAGAAAGGAGAGCUGCUUGAUGACACAUUGGCAUGUUCAAAAGAACUUGAAUAUGAUCAGUACCUGGAAGGCAGAAUACCAUGGUUUAAGGAACAUGCAUGGCCUCAUCUUUGUGCUUAUUGGUGCUGUGGCAUUCCUCAUGGGCGAUUAGCAAUAGUGGAUGGAGCAAUUAAGAAGGCUGAUGUUAUCUCAAUAGCUAGAGAGAAGAAAUUGAGGUCGUUAUCUUCAGCAUCAUUUCGGCGAACUAUUCAAGAAAACGAAGAACUGAAGCGACGAGCUAUUCAAGAAAACGAAGAACUGAAGCGACGUAAUGAGAACCUUCAAAAGAUAGUGGAUAUGCAUGGAAGACUUUUCUUGGCCCUUUUUAAGGAGAUGGGAAAAGAACUACCAGAGGAGCUACGCCAAGGAGAAAGUUUCCAACCACAUGGGGGCACUAAUUCAUCUCAAAUUGAAACCCAAGCACUUGAUGACAACACCGGUGAUGGUGAUUUGGGUGGAACUGUUGGCGGUGACAACUCCAAUGGGAAUAUUGGCGACAUGGCUAUUUUUGCAACUAACCUUCACUCCAACAACCUGGAAAGCGAGACUUAG